rnacentral:lncRNA from 1 species
ACAGAUUUCAUGAGUUCAAGAAGUAGUAUUUUCUACACAAGGUAUGGGACCAAUUGAACAUUCAGUUUACGGAUUUGGUACACUGAGAUGUUUCUGCCAGGAGAUUAAGGUCGAGUUAAUCAUAUAAAACAAUUUUAGCAUUGAGAUAUGUGGUCGAGUGAAUUUGAUUCAUCGAUUAUGGUUUGGAGAAUAAGCCAAAGAUCACACAGAAAAUCUUUGGGAACUUAGCCAAGAAUUUUGGAGUAGAUAAAAGACCAUGGAGUUUUAAAGCUUCGAGGAUAUGUUAGAGUAUGACCUGAAUGUUAAAGAAGCUAUUAUUGCUGAAGAAUUUAACCAAGUCAUGCAGACCGUUUAUUUUCUAACUGCUGCAGAUCAUAGGUCAGUUUCAAGCAGUGAGUUAAGUAAGUCAAUGGAGAUGAUUUUGGGUGUACAUUUCAUCAGAUCAAGAUCGAGGACCUUGAGCCAUUAUGGUUGUGACUAGCAAGGAUAGAAUGGUCGUGACUGUCAAAGUGUGGGAAAUCCUGGAACAUUUUCAUUAUUCGCGCUUUGGUGGUUCUUGUGAAAAGUUAGGAUUUUAGGUUACCCUUCCUCAUGAAGUUACCCGAUCUACGUUACCUAUACCUAAGAUAACACUUGUUGAACUUGUUUGCUUUUCCUUACCGUUAGUCCACACCCAAGUGUUAGGCUAUUUUGGUAGAGCCUACACUUUAUAGUUGCUUGUACCGUCAAAACCCCUGAAAGGUCCAAUCACAGGUUUGCUUCUUAUCCCAUUGUGUGUUGUGUGCAUUUUUAAAAUUUUAUGAAUGAUUGAAAUAAAAAACAAUUAUGUGAAUUGUGAUCAAUGUAUCGUAGGAGACCUUGCCUAUGGAUGGAAUUCUCCGCCCAUAUUGUGUUUUAUUCGGGAACAACACAUAGUUGUAGUUCCCGAGCACUGUCAUAGUAUUAGAAGGGAUUCACUUUUGUGAAUUCAAGUCUACCGUUCUUAUUCUUGGAAGUAUUGGCUGCCAGUUAAAUUAAUGGUACGCCUUCCCCAUUCCAUAAUACUUCCGUUAGAGCGGUAUGUUUCUAUCUAGAAUGAGAUUGGCUAUCUAGCUACCGAGCUCAAU